GAUGAACGCUAGCGGCAGGCUUAACACAUGCAAGUCGAGGGGCAGCACGGGUAGCGAUACCUGGUGGCGACCGGCGCAAGGGUGCGUAACGCGUGAGCAACAUGCCCUAUACAGGGGGAUAAUCCAGGGAAACUUGGUCUAAUAUCCCAUAGUAUUUAGAGGAGGCAUCUUCUAUAAAUUAAAGCUUCGGUGGUAUAGGAUUGGCUCGCGUGACAUUAGCUAGAUGGUGAGGUAACGGCUCACCAUGGCAAUGAUGUCUAGGGGUUCUGAGAGGAAGGCCCCCCACACUGGGACUGAGACACGGCCCAGACUCCUACGGGAGGCAGCAGUGAGGAAUAUUGGACAAUGGAUGGAAAUCUGAUCCAGCCAUGCCGCGUGCAGGAAGACAGCCCUAUGGGUUGUAAACUGCUUUUAUAUGGGAGCAAUAAGGUCUACGUGUAGACUGAUGAGAGUACCAUAUGAAUAAGC
rnacentral:rRNA from 1 species